rnacentral:rRNA from 1 species
AUUGAACGCUGGCGGCAGGCCUAACACAUGCAAGUCGAACGAGUGGCGGACGGGUGAGUAAUGUCUGGGAAACUGCCUGAUGGAGGGGGCUAACUACUGGAAACGGUAGCUAAUACCGCAUACUAUCAGAUGAGCCUAGGUCGGAUUAGCUAGUUGGGGGGGUAAAGGCCUACCAAGGCGACGAUCCGUAACUGGUCUGAGAGGAUGAUCAGCAACACUGGAACUGAGACACGGUCCAGACUCCUACGGGAGGCAGCAGUGGGGAAUAUUGGACAAUGGGCGAAAGCCUGAUCCAGCCAUGCCGCGUGUGUGAAGAAGGUCUUCGGAUUGUAAAGUACUUUCAGCGGGGAGGCGUUACCCGCAGAAGAAGCACCGGCUAACUCCGUGCCAGCAGCCGCGGUAAUAC